rnacentral:rRNA from 1 species
CCCUAUUAUUGAUGGAAGAAUUUUAAUUAGAGAGUAAGUCUUACUGAAAACUAUUCAGAAUGGCGGUUUUUUUUAUUAUCAGAUAAAUGUGUUUUGAAAACGAAAUUGCACGAACAUCUUUCUUGGUUUGGAAAAUCCAUCCUGUACACCGCCGUCUGAAGAAUCAAUUUAAUUAGUUAGUUCUAUUUCUUUGCAGGAAAUAAGUCAGGUUAGGUGCAGACAAUAAUCAAGAAAAAAUGCAUUUCACUUAGUUUGACCAAGGAGAAUUUGAAAGAGUUUGACCAAGGAGAAUUUGAAAGUAUGUUCUUUUUAUUAAAAAGAAAAGAAUUAAUACCAAAAAAUUGUACACAUCGCCCGUCGCUC